UGACGGCCUUCGGGUUGUAAACCUCUUUCGGUAGGGACGAAGCGCAAGUGACGGUACCUAUAGAAGAAGCACCGGCCAACUACGUGCCAGCAGCCGCGGUAAUACGUAGGGUGCGAGCGUUGUCCGGAAUUACUGGGCGUAAAGAGCUCGUAGGCGGUUUGUCGCGUCGUCUGUGAAAUCCCACAGCUCAACUGUGGGCGUGCAGGCGAUACGGGCAGACUUGAGUACUGCAGGGGAGACUGGAAUUCCUGGUGUAGCGGUGAAAUGCGCAGAUAUCAGGAGGAACACCGGUGGCGAAGGCGGGUCUCUGGGCAGUAACUGACGCUGAGGAGCGAAAGCGUGGGUAGCGAACAGGAUUAGAUACCCUGGUAGUCCACGCCGUAAACGGUGGGCGCUAGGUGUGGGUUUCCUUCCACGGGAUCCGUGCCGUAGCUAACGCAUUAAGCGCCCCGCCUGGGGAGUACGGCCGCAAGGCUAAAACUCAAAGGAAUUGACGGGGGCCCGCACAAGCGGCGGAGCAUGUGGAUUAAUUCGAUGCAACGCGAAGAACCUUACCUGGGUUUGACAUACACAGGAUCGCCUCAGAGAUGGGGUUUCCCUUGUGGUCGGUGUACAGGUGGUGCAUGGCUGUCGUCAGCU
rnacentral:rRNA from 1 species